GAUGAAGAACGCAGCGAAAUGCGAUAAGUAAUGUGAGUUGCAGAAUUCAGUGAAUCAUCGAAUCUUUGAACGCACAUUGCGCCCCCUGGUAUACCGGGGGGCAUGCCUGUCCGAGCGUCAUUACAACCCUCAAGCUCAGCUUGGUGUUGGGCCCCGCCGCCCCGGCGGGCCCUAAAGUCAGUGGCGGUGCCGUCCGGCUCCGAGCGUAGUAAUUCUUCUCGCUCUGGAGGUCCGGUCGUGUGCUCGCCAGCAACCCCCAAUUUUUUUCAGGUUGACCUCGGAUCAGGUAGGGAUACCCGCUGAACUUAAGCAUAUCAAUAAGCGGAGGA
rnacentral:misc_RNA from 1 species